UGGUUUGCUAGUCUUCUAUUUCUGUGCUGCGAGGCGGGAGAACGUUUAAAUAAUUCAAUAGUUUAGCAAGUCUGAAAUUUAAAAUUUCCCCUAUCACGAGCAAAACAUCGGACGAUGACUGGAAAAACAAAAUAGACAGGAAAAAAGUGCGCUAUUCGAACUGAAUGAAAUGGUUUUGAUCCAGAACAAGGGAUAUGAAAAAUGAAGAAACAAGCCCAGACGAUGACGAAGCCACGAAUAUUCUAGAGGCUGAAUAUAACGAUCCUCCUCGGCAUACCAAGACGAGGCAACAACUCCUCGACACCUGCCUACCCGGACCCAGAAUAGUUUGCGGGUAUUGCCAUCGGGGUUCCCUCAAAACCUCUGCGAAAAGCUGUUAGACGUUUUUGAGAAACUGGGUCCUACCAAGGAAGGCCGGGUUUUGAAACCCUAGGGUAACAGAGCCACAUGACUGAGAAUUUUGUGAAACUGGCACCUUACUGUUGUUCAAGCGGUUCAUCAACUCCAGGAAG